UCCCGCACCCCGCAGCCGCCGCGCGGGCGCGCACGCACUAUCCAGCCCCUCACCCUCUCCUCUACACGCGGCAAACCCUAAUCCAGCCCCGUCGCCCAAAGCCCCAAACCCUAAUCCAGCCCCGUCGAAUCUCCCAGCUUGCCGCGCAUCCGGUCGAUCUCCCACCUCUCGACACCUCGCGUGCGUCCACGGCGGCGCGAACAAGGCGUCGGCAGCGAAGCGAAGGCAAGGGCGCCCAUCGAGCGACGGUCGGAUCUCCCGGCUCGCCGCGCAUCCGGUCGACCUCCCACCUCUCGGCACCUCGCGUCCACGGAGGCGCGAACAAGGCGGCAGCGAAGCGAAGGCAAGGGCGCCCAUCGGGCGACGCUCGGAUCUCCCAUCUUGCCGCGCAUCUGGUCGAUCUCACACCUCUCGACACCUCGCGUCCACGGCGGGGCGGCGCGAACAGGCGGUGGCAGCGAAGCGAAUGCAAGGGGGGGGGGCGGCGGCGGAGCUCUCAGCCGUUCCCACAUAUCCGACCUGAACCACCCUUUUGGCUCUCCAGCUUUCCAUCUCACCCGACUCAGUCCACGGCGUCAGGGAAUGGAUCAAGGCCAAACCUUCGACUUCUUGCAUUGGAUCACCGUCCUCCAGACCCAAUUGACCGAAUAUUGUACUCUUUACUUUGGAGACGCUGCUAUCAUAUGUAGCGACGUUGGUCGCAACUAUCUGAAGAGUGCUUACCGGUUUGUCAUUGAUACUUGGAGGACAUUGCUGGCGUGGAAUGUUCUCGGUGAGGAAUUUCAUGGUUGUUAAUGGGUUAUUCAUGAUGGACAUACCUGCACCAUUCACGACUAUUGGUGAUUUUCAAGACCUCAUGACUGAUGUUGGAGCCCUGAGCAAUGCUUUGCUGCAGUACUACUGUCAAGGGAACAUACCUGCACUUUAUACUGACCAUCUUCAUUAUAUUACCACUAUGAUCCCAUCAGGAAUUGGAUCUUCACUUGUCUUCCAAUCUAGAUUCAUUUGUCUGAUUUACUAUCAUUUCUCAUUCUCAUUGACGGAUCCCUGGACUUUGCUGCUUGCAUCACUUGCAACAGCAAAGAGCCAUCUUGGGGAUGAUGAUGCACUUCAAUUUAAUAAUCUCCUUCAACAAGCUUGGAAUGAUUUAUGUAUGGGUCAAUUUACACCUGUUGGUAAAAAUUGGACUGUUCAAGCUGAAAAGAAUCCAAUCUUUUAUGAGGUUAUGAUCUGGUACAGCAGGCAGGCAGGGUUACCUCCAAGGAAUGGAUAUAGAGGUAAUCCUCAGUCAUUAUACAAUUUUGGAAGAAACAACAAGGUUCACGCGCCUGAAAAAACAAAGGGGCCUAGGGGAGCUCAGCUAGGGCAGAUGGAACCAGUAGCACCCAAUGGUGCAGGGCAUUGGCGAUGGACGAUCAUUUCUGUUGCAGGGCAAAGGGGAUGGGGCUGGGUGUGGCAGCCUGCUCAGGGUCAGUGGUUCUGGCCGGCUGUACCAGGUGAUAUGCAGUGGCGAAUGAGCAAGUGGCCAACUUCCCCGGUGCUGCCUCCACUACCAGCCCAGAGAAUCUAGGACAUAUGCUAGGGAAGGAGUGCGGGAUGUUCUUUGCCCAUGCCUCGGCCCUUGUCCUCAUAUUCUUGCAGUGCAGAACACCGGAGUGUAUCGAGCAGCCUUACAAGAGAUACAAAGAGGCAAUGGAUGGUUGACUGCAGAGUCAUGCCUGUUUUCUCCCAUUACCGAGGCACAGCUGAGAUUAGUUUGGAUGUUCCAAUGCUGGCAAGAUUUGAGUUGAAGGCUGCGGCAAUGAACUUGUGGGCUGAUUCGCAAUGCGCUCCAGAUUGAUCAAAUUCUUCAAAAGUUGCACUGAUGAGCCCAUGCAUUGCUGAGUGGAUCUUUUUGUAAUUUUCUAUUGCUUAGAUCUACUUACUGAAUCAGUGAAUCUUAUUGAAUCGUGUUGCUCAUGACUUGUAAAAAAUCAUCUAACUUCCUGUAGCACCUUACCGGAUCUUUUAUCAAAAGUUGCACCA